rnacentral:sRNA from 1 species
CACCGCCUGGGGAGUACGACCGCAAGGUUAAAACUCAAAUGAAUUGACGGGGACCCGCACAAGCAGUGGAGCAUGUGGUUUAAUUCGAAGAUACGCGCAGAACCUUACCAACACUUGACAUGUUCGUCGCGACUCUAAGAGAUUAGAGUUUUCGGUUCGGCCGGACGAAACACAGGUGCUGCAUGGCUGUCGUCAGCUCGUGUCGUGAGAUGUUGGGUUAAGUCCCGCAACGAGCGCAACCCUUACUUUUAGUUGCCACCAUUAAGUUGAGCACUCUGAAAGAACCGCCAGUGAUAAGCUGGAGGAAGGUGGGGAUGACGUCAAGUCCUCAUGGCCCUUACGUGUUGGGCUACACACGUGCUACAAUGGCAUUCACAAUGGGAAGCAAAGAGGUGACUCUAAGCAAAUCCUAAAAAAAUGCCUCAGUUCGGAUUGUACUCUGCAACUCGAGUACAUGAAGCUGGAAUUGCUAGUAAUCGCGGAUCAGCGCGCCGCGGUGAAUACGUUCCCGGGUCUUGUACACACCGCCCGUCACACCAUGGAAGUUGGUUCUACCUUAAGCCAAAAUGUUAACUUUCGGGAAACAUUUGACCACGGUAUAGUCAGCGACUGGGGUGAAGUCGUAACAAGGUAGCCGUAGGGGAACCUGCGGCUGGAUUACCUCCUUUCUAAGGAUGAUUAAAAAUUGUUUUUUUUAAUCUAAAUAUUUUACAGGUUAAUGUUGACCGUCCUCAUUUCUCUUCUUAAUCAAUGUUUCUGACUUAAAUGCACACAGGGGCCGGUAGCUCAGGUGGUUAGAGCGCACCCCUGAUAAGGGUGAGGUCGGUAGUUCGAGUCUACCUCGGCCCACCAAAAAAAUUUAAGAGAAGGGGGAUUAGCUCAGCUGGGAGAGCGCCUGAUUUGCAUUCAGGAGGUCAGCGGUUCGAUCCCGCUAUCCUCCACCACACAGUUGGAACAUUUAGAUCUUUAAAAUCGUAAAUAUAAUUAUUAUCAAUAUCUAUAUCCGAACAUUGGCUUAAUAAUUGAAGCUAGUGUUCAAACAAAAAUUUGAUUACACAGAAAUUUUUUCUG